UACAGAGGGUGCGAGCGUUGUCCGGAAUCACUGGGCGUAAAGGGCGCGUAGGUGGCGGGGCAAGUGUGUGGUGAAAGCCUGGGGCUCAACCCCAGGUCGGCCAUGCAAACUGCCUUGCUUGAGCGUAGUAGAGGCAGGUGGAAUUCCGGGUGUAGCGGUGGAAUGCGUAGAGAUCCGGAGGAACACCGGUGGCGAAGGCGGCCUGCUGGGCUACUGCUGACACUGAGGCGCGACAGCGUGGGGGAGCAAACA
rnacentral:rRNA from 1 species